AGAGAGAGACAUGCGCGCAUAUCAAUAAGCGGAGGAAAAGAAACUAACAAGGAUUCCCUUAGUAACGGCGAGUGAAGCGGGAAGAGCUCAAAUUUGAAAUCUUCAAGGUUUUACCUUGACGAAUUGUAGUUUAAAGAAGUGUUUUCUGCUGAAGUUUUGGUAAAAGUUCUUUGGAAUAGGACAUCAUAGAGGGUGAGAAUCCCGUAUUUGACCAUUAUUUUCAGCUUUGUGAUACACUUUCAAAGAGUCGGAUUGUUUGGGAAUGCAGUCCCAAAAUGGGUGGUAAAUUUCAUCUAAAGCUAAAUAUUGGCGAGAGACCGAUAGCGAACAAGUACCGUGAGGGAAAGAUGAAAAGAACUUUGAAAAGAGAGUUAAGCAGUACGUGAAAUUGUCAAAAGGGAAGCGUUUGACACCAGUGUUGUUUUCUCGAAAAUCAAUUAAAAAUGGCUCGAUUUUGUAUUGUUGAGACCUUAAAAGCUCACUGUACAUUUUUCGUGUCUUUUUUAAUGCACUUUUCGUUUAACAAGUCAACAUCAGUUUCUUUUGUUGUAAAAGGGUCAUUGGAAGGUGGCUUUCUUUUCGGAGAAAGUGUUUAUAGCCUUUGGCCUCUGCAAUCGGAGAGACUGAGGUCUGCAGCGUAGACUCUUCGGGGUUAGAUACAUUUGUGCUAAGUUAUAGCUUUUUAUAGACAACUUGUUGACUAUAAUUAGUCUUGUAGCUUACUCGCUUAUGCUAUUUUACCUACGCUUAGGAUGUUGAGUCGUAGAGCACGCA
rnacentral:rRNA from 1 species